rnacentral:lncRNA from 10 species
CAGUCUGAACACUCAGCAGUACUGGGAUUGGUCAAGAUUCUGUUACAGGCACAUAAUCCUAAGUUAGGUUUUCAUUGUUGUCUAGCUAUUAAGCUGGGUUGCAGUUUGUCCACAUGGACUCCAAUGUAGAAGUACAGAGUCCCUCUCAGGCCAUAUUUAGAUCACUUUAACAACAGAGAAGAGUAAAGAGGUUAUUGGCCUAAUAAAGUCUGCUUCCUUCAAACGAGCUCAUUUGAAAUCUAAUUUAAAGUUGUGACAUUAUGGUGUUUUUACAUAUCACUUUAAAAAUUCUUAGAACUUAAAUGGUCAUUAAAAACUCUAAAGAGUAAUUGUAUUUUUUUCAAAUGGCUGCCUGUGGUUUCAGGAGCUGCUUUUCUUCUCCUCCAGAAGGGCUUACAGCCUACUAUCAAAACAUCUGGCAAUUACCUUGGACACUGAUGCCAAUCUGUCAAGCAAUGAAACUUCUAAUAUUCCAUUAGGAAAUAAAGAUCACUGUGACAUCGGACUGCUAGUGUGCUAGCACUCAAUGCUAAAGAUGGCACCCAGUUCAAGGUCAGCAAAUGGAAGGCAUCCUCGCCCACAACUCUUCAGUGGACAUGGCUUCUCUAUCAGAGAGCGCUUUUCAGCUAAGUCCAGAUGCAGGCCUGAAGUCUUCUCUGCCCAUCCCUCCAGAAGGCCACUGUGAUAACCUGAAUUGGGAAGGAAAGAGAAGCCCCGUUGCCUUCCAAGAUCACCUUCUUCUUUUUUUUUCCUCCAGGCAGAUUUUCAGGCUAAUUUUCCCAGGGGGAAAAAAAUUAGUAUCUCUCCUGUUUGAAAGCAUUCUGAGAUGAAAAUGAAAUAGAAAUUGAAGAUUGUUUCCAUUCUUAAGGGUUUUGGUCAAUCGUUUUUAGAAAUUUCUUCCUGGGAUUUAUAUUAUUUUCCUCCCACUUUACCUCUCCUGUGUCCAUUUUGGAGAAAAGCACCUCGUUUAUCUUUGGGAGACAGUAACGCAGAAACUGUAACUGAGCCGAUUUCCCCUUGAGGAUCAAAAUAUUUGUGUUAAAUGAAAUGAGAAAUCUGCUAAGUGGCGGCAUGCAUCCCCCAGGGAAGGAUAUUUUGUAAUUUUGAAAAAUUCCUACUGAAAUUCUUCUCUUGCCAAGAAAAGAGGAAUGAUUUCUGUUAAAAUUACUUCAUGUCUGAAUUACUCUCUGCCCCUCGGGAACAUAUAACAUUACAGCUUUUAUGCUCAGUAAUUUAGAAGGACGGGGGGACACCUUAUUUGGAAAGCAUGCAGACUUAACACGAAAUGUUGGGUAUUAAGUAGUUUCACCACAAAAGUCUCGUUUUGAAAAUUUUGCACUUAAACAGUUCAAAUUAAAGUUCGUUUUUAGAACUGGUUUUUAUGAUUGUCUGUAUAAGUCCUUUUAACUUUCUACUCUUAUCUCACCAUUCCCUGAAGCUGCAGAGAAAAUCCUUUGAUUGGUGUUCAAGAGUUGUACCUUUUAUAGAAAACAGGAUAGAUGGCAUCACUUUAAUAAGGCAGGUGCAUGCUUUGAAGCCAGUCAAAUAAGUUAAUUUUAUUAAAAUAUAUGUAUCUGCUUCUGUGUAUGUUAUAGUACAGGCUUUGGAAAGGCACGAGAGAUAGAAAAUAGGUUUAAACUCACAGGCCAACUCUGAUCAAGUAUUAUGGAUCCCACUGGCACUGUGUUGGGAAAGAUUCUGAGGCCAAAUUCAGGUUCAGGGGGAAAAAAAGUGAAAGAUGAGUAUUCUUCUUUGAUUACAGGUGGCCAAUUUUAAGCACAAGCACCAAACACAGAUGUCAUCACUGACACGUAUUAAAUAUCAAGAGAAGUGCCUUCUGGCUUGUGUAAUUGAAGUAGUUUUCUGUGUUUUCUAAUUUUCUGCAGUAAAUAUGUAUUGUUUCUGUGAUGAGAUUAAAGCUAUUUUUUAUUCUUUUUAAACUGGAAAAAUUGUU